rnacentral:lncRNA from 1 species
UGAAGAGUGUGGCUCUCGCUUGCUACUGGCUUUUUACCCAGCCGGUGGGAAAUCCAGAAGGCUGACUCGGUCUCUAAAAUGAAGCAGAACCUGGGACCACCACGACCACCUGACAGCAAGAGGCAGCAGAGGCUGGAGAACAGCACUGGAACUCUCCCCAGCUUCAUCCUAUACUCUUUGACAUCACCUCAAAGAGGAAGUCAAUUUUACUACGUGACUAAGACUCAAGCGAAGCGCAAUUCGUUCAAGCAACUCACUACAUAUGUCAAAAAUAUAAAUCCAGGGCCAGGUACAGUGGCUCACGCCUGUAAUCCCAGCACUUUGGGAGGCUGAGGAGGGAGAUCACUUGAGGUCAGAAGUCCAAGACCAGCCUGGCCAACAUAAUGAAACCCCAACUCUACUAAAAAUACAGAAAUUAGCUGGGUGUGGUGGCGCAUGCCUGUAAUCCCAGCUACCCAAGAGGCUGAGGCAGGAGAAUAGCUUGAACCCAGGAGAUGGAGGUGGCAGUGAGCUGAGAUCGCACCAUUGCACUCCAGUCUGGGCAACAGGGCAAGACUCCAUCUCAAAAAAUAAAAUAAAAUGAAAUAUAAUAAAAUAAAAUAAAUCCAGGCCUCUGAGGAAAAGAUGAAAAAUCAGAGGGUCAAGGAGGACUACAUGAGCAACACAUUAACUCUUUCCUGCAUUCAUUCCUGAGAAGCCAGGAUGCUCUGGCCUGUGGUCCAGCCACUACCUCCACAGCCUGGAGGAGUCUCCCCUCCUCUAAGGGGGCGCUUAGAAGAAGGUCCAUCCUGCAGGAGGGACCACAGCCCUAAUCCUCCACUCGCCCUCCUUUGGUAGGAGUGGCCGGAUGUGGGACACUCAAUUCCACUCCUCCUUUCUGAACCCUCUCUAGUUCAAUUGAAAAUAUUUAGCAAUGAGGCCUGGCGUGGUAGCUCACGCCUGUGCUCCCAGCGCUUUGGGAGGCUGACCACUUUGCCAGGCAGGAUAGUGCACAACAGUCUUGCUUGAACAGCAGUCAGAGUGUCACAGCUUAGAGGGGUGCAAAAGCCCAGGGACAAGGAAUUGUGGAGCCUUGCACCAAGCCAUGCUGAAACAUCACACCUGGAGCCGGCCCCAUCCCCUCAUGGCACCAAGCCACACUGGAAACAUCACACCGG